rnacentral:rRNA from 1 species
GACGAACGCUGGCGGCGUGCUUAACACAUGCAAGUCGAACGGAGUGGCGAACGGGUGAGUAACACGUGGGUGACCUGCCCUGCACUUCGGGAUAAGCCUGGGAAACUGGGUCUAAUACCGGAAAGUGUGGGAUGGGCCCGCGGCCUAUCAGCUUGUUGGUGGGGUAAUGGCCUACUCAGGCGGCGACGGGUAGCCGGCCGGAGAGGGUGGACGGCCACAUUGGGGCGUGAGUACGGACCAGACACCUACUGGAGGCUGCAGUGGGGAAUAGUGCACAAUGGGCGGAAGCCUGAUGCAGCGACGCCGCGGGGGGGAUGACGGCUUUCGGGUUGUAAACUCCUUUCACCAUCGACGCGGUAGAUGGAGAAGGAGCACCGGCUAACUACGUGCCAGCAGCCGCGGUAAUAG